ensembl:lncRNA
UUAGCACAUCUUUUUACCUUGAGAUUAUUCUGAGAUUAAAUACUCUUUGUAAUCGUUAUCAUUUUCCCCGAGUAACUGUAACAGAUUACAGUUACAUUUAUUUUGUAAUUAAAUUAUGUAAUUCUGUUACAUGUACCUAGUUACUCACCAACACUGUAUAUCGUAUACAUAUGGGUAAUCACUGUAAUGCAUACCACAGGACUGCUGCUGAAUCAAGGGUUAUUCCUUACAAAAAAUGGCCAGGGACUUGAGGAUGUGACUUGUCAGCUGGAGUGGAGGUAAACUGUUAAAGUAGAUUCAUCCAUCCUGCAUACUCCCAAUGAAAGGGAGGAUCACUAUAGCUAAAGUGGUCUCAUCCAUCUCCAAUGCCACUACUGGAUAAAAGCAGCACAUUUGAUAAAUGGGAAAGGAGCCCUUGUUGAAAAUAAGCAGCAGACAGUGCAAAGAGUGAUGAGAAAGGAGGUUACACAGCACCGCUUUGGUGAUGCAUCAGGAAACAACAUACAGUAAGGGAGUAGCGUCCAACUCUGUGUAUAUUGGGUUUACUUUCCUGGCGUUUUUAGGCUGGUGUAGUCAAAGUGUGUGUGAAAUCUGGCAACUGGUCUAUCAAUCUACCAUGCGGAAUGUUUUGGAGUCUCCAAAACGAGAAUUCAACCCUCAGAGGAAGCGUAAAGAGAAAUGGGUGUGCAUAAUUGCAGAAUGUCAGCAGGAACGGCUGGAGAUGUGCUCAGGGUUUUCAUCGAGGCAGCUGCCCAGACUUGCUACAUUCAGAAACAGCUGGUGCCGUCCAUCCAGCCCAGGCAAGCGCAGGUGGGCCUGUCACGACUGACCGCCCCAUCCCUGACCCAGCCUCCACCAUACGGCCCACAGCAGCCAGAGAGGAGGCUGUGCCAAAACUGUGUCACUCACAAAGACUGAAAUAAAAUGGAAGAUUUGGUACCCA